UAAGCGAGCAAAUUUCUUGACCUUGCAAGACCCUUGGAAACCUAUCCAGGUCCAUAACACCUGAACAAGCUGGGUUCACGCCAGUAGCAUCUACAAACUCACCAAAUCGAUCCUUGACUCUACUCGACACAAGAACUGGAUUUGCAUGAGACUGCAUCGCAAAAUCCAGUAUCCGGCGGUUCAUAACAUCAAACCCCUGUGAGGGUGAUGCAGAACCUAUAUUUUCUUGACCUUGCAAGACCUUAGAG
rnacentral:sRNA from 1 species